AGAUAGAGAUGUUUGCAGCUGCCGUGCAGUUAGCUUGUACAAUUCGGCAUUGCACUCAUCUCGGUCUGA
rnacentral:pre_miRNA from 1 species